GUAGAUAGGUCAGGUGUGUAAGCGCUGCGAGGCGUUGAGCUAACUGAUACUAAUUGCCCGUGAGGCUUAACCA
rnacentral:rRNA from 1 species